rnacentral:tRNA from 1 species
GGUUGUGGCUCAGAGGUAGAGCGCUUGCCUAGCAUGCGUGAGGCACUGGGUUCAAUUCUCAGCACCA